CCCUUAGAUGUUCUGGGCCGCACGCGCGCUACACUGGUGCGUUCAACAAGUUUACAACCUUGAUUGACAAGUCUGGGUAAUCUUUUGAAUGCGCACCGUGCUAGGGAUAGAUUAUUGCAAUUAUUAAUCUUGAACGAGGAAUUCCUAGUAAACGCAAGUCAUCAGCUUGCAUUGAUUACGUCCCUGCCCUUUGUACACACCGCCCGUCGCACCUACUGAUUGAAUGACUCGGUGAAGCCUCCGGAUUGGCGCGCACCUCGGUGCCGCCGAGAAGUUGGCUAAACCUUACCAUUUAGAGGAAGGUGAANUCGUANCA
rnacentral:rRNA from 1 species